GAUCCUGGCUCAGGAUGAACGCUAGCUACAGGCUUAACACAUGCAAGUCGAGGGCAUCAUGAUCUUAGCUUGCUAAGAUUGAUGGCGACCGGCGCACGGGUGAGUAACGCGUAUCCAACCUUCCCUGUACUAGGGGAUAGCCCGGCGAAAGUCGGAUUAAUACCCUAUGUUUUCCGAAGCGAGCAUUUAAUUUGGAACAAAGGUUUACCGGUAUAGGAUGGGGAUGCGUCUGAUUAGAUAGUAGGCGGGGUAACGGCCCACCUAGUCGACGAUCAGUAGGGGUUCUGAGAGGAAGGUCCCCCACAUUGGAACUGAGACACGGUCCAAACUCCUACGGGAGGCAGCAGUGAGGAAUAUUGGUCAAUGGGCGAGAGCCUGAACCAGCCAAGUAGCGUGCAGGAUGACGGCCCUAUGGGUUGUAAACUGCUUUUAUAUAGGGAUAAAGUGAGGGACGUGUCCCUUAUUGUAGGUACUAUAUGAAUAAGGACCGGCUAAUUCCGUGCCAGCAGCAGC
rnacentral:rRNA from 1 species